AAAACAUAGCCUCUUGUGUUCAGUAAUAGGAGGUGGUUCCUGCCCGGUGACUUGAGGUUAAACGGCCGCGGUACACUGACCGUGCUAAGGUAGCGCAAUCACGUGCCCUUUAAUUGAGGGAUAGUAUGAAUGAAGUUACGGGGACAAACUGUCUCUUUGUUACAAAUUGAAAUUUAUCUUUAGGUGAAAAAGCCUAGAUGUAAAAAUAAGACAGAAAGACCCUAAAAGCUUGGCUUAAGUUAAUUAUUUAAAUUGGCUAAGGUUUAGUUGGGGCGACGUAUAAUAAUAAACGUUAUUUAAAAUAAAAGGAAACAAUCCGGUAGAAAAUAGCCAGACUCAUAAGAGUAAGUUACUUUAGGGAUAACAGGCUAGUCCUCUCUGAGAGAACACAUCGACGGGAGGGUUCGGCACCUCGAUGUUGGCUUAGGAUUCCUUUAAUGUGCAGGGGCAUUAAGAGGUGGUUUGUUCAACCAUUAAACUCCUACAUGAUCUGAGUUCAAACCGGAGA
rnacentral:rRNA from 1 species